CACAUGUCCACAUGCCUCCUCUCUCUCUCUCUCUCUCUGUUUGUUCGCUUAGGUGGGGUUCAUCUUCAUCACACCCUUACCUAGGCUUACUUUUCAGCUAGGGUUGAUUCCUGAUUCUUGGCCGGAAAUGACAAGGCAGAAGAUAGAAAUAAAGAAGAUCGAUAACAUAACAGCGAGGCAAGUAACGUUUUCAAAGAGAAGAAGAGGGCUAUUCAAGAAGGCUCAUGAACUUGCUACUCUCUGUGAUGCUGAGAUUGCUCUCAUAGUCUUUUCUGCUACUGGCAAGCUCUUUGAAUAUGGUAGCUCAAGUGUGCAGCAGGUUAUCGAAAGGCACAAUCAGCACUCAGAAAUUGAAAGAUUAUACCAUUCAUCCAUUUUGUAUGAAAAGGAAACCUUCAGCAUGCUCAGCAUGGAAGAAGCCAAUAAGGUUCAGGAACUGAGGAAGUUGAAGGGCGAAGAGCUUGAAGGAUUGAACACGAAUGAAUUACAGAAGCUUGAAGAACAAUUAGAAAAAGGUUUGAGCCGUGUUGUCAAAGCUAAGGAAGAAAUAAUUAUGAAAGAGAUCAAUGCGCUCAAGAGAAAGGGAAUCCAGCUGAUGGAGGAGAAUCAGAGAUUGAAACAGAUUGGUGGCAAGAAUCUGAAGAUGGAAAAUUUGUGUUUAGGUGACGAAAGUUGGACAAAAACAAGGUCAGUCAUCUGAGUCAGCAAUUAUCGGCAGCACAUCUGAUCCUCUUCAUGAGGAUGAUAGUUCAGACACCUCUCUCAGAUUGGGGUUGUCUUUGUUUAACUAAUACAUAAAAAAAAAAAAAGGAAGAUGUGAGGCAACAUUGAAAAUACGUGAAAAAAUUAAUUAACCGUUGUUGUGUACGGUACAAUUCCCCCAUUAUUAAUUCAUAGCAUGCAUGUUUUGCUUAAUAUAAGUAGGCUUUUUAUUAUAUAAAUGCGAGCAAUGAUAUGUAUAUAGUAUAUACACCUGAGAGAAUGGUGUUGCAUUUUGAAUA